rnacentral:rRNA from 1 species
AGUGAACGCUGGCGGCAGGCCUAAUACAUGCCAGUCGAACGGCAGCACAGUGGAGCUUGCUCCAUGGGUGGCGAGUGGCGGACGGGUGAGGAAUACAUGGGAAUCUGCCCAGUCGUGGGGGAUAACGUAGGGAAACUUACGCUAAUACCGCAUGCGCCCUUCGGGGGAAAGCCGGGGACCUUCGGGCCUGGCGCGAUUGGAUGAGCCCAUGUUCGAUUAGCUAGUUGGCGGGGUAAAGGCCCACCAAGGCGACGAUCGAUAGCUGGUCUGAGAGGAUGAUCAGCCACACUGGGACUGAGACACGGCCCAGACUCCUACGGGAGGCAGCAGUAGGGAAUAUUGGACAAUGGGCGCAAGCCUGAUCCAGCCAUGCCGCGUGAGUGAAGAAGGCCCUCGGGUUGUAAAGCUCUUUUGUCCGGGAAGAAAAGCAUCGGGCUAAUACCUCGGUGUUCUGACGGUACCGGAAGAAUAAGCACCGGCUAACUUCGU